UACCCGCUGAACUUAAGCAUAUCAAUAAGCGGAGGAAAAGAAACCAACAGGGAUUGCCUUAGUAACUGCGAGUGAAGCGGCAAAAGCUCAAAUUUGAAAUCGGUGUCCUUUUCGGGCAUCGAGUUGUAAUUUGGAGGGAUAUCUUCGGUACGGACUACAUCGUAAGUUCCUUGGAACAGGACGUCAUAGAGGGUGAGAAUCCCGUGUCUUGGUGUUUGGCCGUGCCAUGUGAAGUGUCUCCGACGAGUCGAGUUGUUUGGGAAUGCAGCUCAAAAUGGGUGGUAAAUUUCAUCUAAAGCUAAAUAUUGGCGAGAGACCGAUAGCGCACAAGUAGAGUGAUCGAAAGAUGAAAAGCACUUUGAAAAGAGAGUUAAAAAGUACGUGAAAUUGUUGAAAGGGAAGCGCUUGCGACCAGACUCGAUCUUUGGUGAUCAGCCGGGCUUCGGUCCGGUGCCCUCACCAUUGAUUGGGCCAGCAUCGGUUCUGACGGCGGGAUAAAAGGAGGAGGAAUGUGGCUCCCUUCGGGGAGUGUUAUAGCCUCCUUCACAAUGCCGCCAGUUGGGACCGAGGACCGCGCUUCGGCUAGGAUGCUGGCGUAAUGGUCUUAAGCGACCCGUCUUGAAACACGGACCAAGGAGUCUAACAUCUAUGCGAGUGUUCGGGUGGAAAACCCUUGCGCGUAAUGAAAGUGAACGGAGGUGUGAACCCUUCACGGGGUGCAACAUCGACCGGUCCUGAUGUCUUCGGAAGGAUCUGAGUAAGAGCAUAGCUGUUGGGACCCGAAAGAUGGUGAACUAUGCCUGAAUAGGGUGAAGCCAGAGGAAACUCUGGUGGAGGCUCGCAGCGGUUCUGACGUGCAAAUCGAUCGUCAAAUUUGGGUAUAGGGGCGAAAGACUAAUCGAAC
rnacentral:rRNA from 1 species